CCGGAAUUAUUGGGCGUAAAGAGCUCGUAGGCGGUUUGUCGCGUCUGCUGUGAAAGCCCGGGGCUUAACCCCGGGUGUGCAGUGGGUACGGGCAGACUUGAGUGCAGUAGGGGAGACUGGAACUCCUGGUGUAGCGGUGAAAUGCGCAGAUAUCAGGAAGAACACCGAUGGCGAAGGCAGGUCUCUGGGCUGUUACUGACGCUGAGGAGCGAAAGCAUGGGGAGCGAACAGGAUUAGAUACCCUGGUAGUCCAUGCCGUAAACGUUGGGCACUAGGUGUGGGGGACAUUCCACGUUUUCCGCGCCGUAGCUAACGCAUUAAGUGCCCCGCCUGGGGAGUACGGCCGCAAGGCUAAAACUCAAAGGAAUUGACGGGGGCCCGCACAAGCGGCGGAGCAUGCGGAUUAAUUCGAUGCAACGCGAAGAACCUUACCAAGGCUUGACAUACACCGGAUCGGCUCAGAGAUGAGUUUUCCUCCUUGUGGGGCUGGUGUACAGGUGGUGCAUGGUUGUCGUCAGCUCGUGUCGUGAGAUGUUGGGUUAAGUCCCGCAACGAGCGCAACCCUCGUUCUAUGUUGCCAGCACGUGAUGGUGGGGACUCAUAGGAGACUGCCGGGGUCAACUCGGAGGAAGGUGGGGAUGACGUCAAAUCAUCAUGCCCCUUAUGUCUUGGGCUUCACGCAUGCUACAAUGGCCAGUACAAUGGGUUGCGAUACCGUGAGGUGGAGCUAAUCCCAAAAAGCUGGUCUCAGUUCGGAUCGUGGUCUGCAACUCGACCACGUGAAGUCGGAGUCGCUAGUAAUCGCAGAUCAGCAACGCUGCGGUGAAUACGUUCCCGGGCCUUGUACACACCGCCCGUCAA
rnacentral:rRNA from 1 species